CACUAAGAAGCUAUGCACCAGCACUAGCCUUUUAAGCUAGAGAAAGAGGACUAACCCUCCUUAGUGC
rnacentral:tRNA from 1 species